rnacentral:rRNA from 1 species
GUUGAACGCUGGCGGCAGGCUUAACACAUGCAAGUCGAGCGGGGUGAUGGUGCUUGCACUAUCACUUAGCGGCGGACGGGUGAGUAAUGCUUAGGAAUCUGCCUAUUAGUGGGGGACAACAUCUCGAAAGGGAUGCUAAUACCGCAUACGUCCUACGGGAGAAAGCAGGGGAUCACUUGUGACCUUGCGCUAAUAGAUGAGCCUAAGUCGGAUUAGCUAGUUGGUGGGGUAAAGGCCUACCAAGGCGACGAUCUGUAGCGGGUCUGAGAGGAUGAUCCGCCACACAGGGACUGAGACACGGCCCAGACUCCUACGGGAGGCAGCAGUGGGGAAUAUUGGACAAUGGGGGGAACCCUGAUCCAGCCAUGCCGCGUGUGUGAAGAAGGCCUUAUGGUUGUAAAGCACUUUAAGCGAGGAGGAGGCUCUUUUGGUUAAUACCCAAGAUGAGUGGACGUUACUCGCAGAAUAAGCACCGGCUAACUCUGUGCCAGCAGCCGCCGUAA